CAAAUUAGAGCUUGUAAAAGUAUUUUAUUUACAUUAAAAAGAAAAUUAAUUUUAAUUUAAUUUGA
rnacentral:tRNA from 1 species